GGGGCUGUAGCUCAGUGGUAGAGCGCUUGCCUAGCAUGCAUGAGUGAAGCACUGGGUUGGAUCCUCAGCACCA
rnacentral:tRNA from 1 species